rnacentral:lncRNA from 1 species
AUGGUGUUCUUAAGGCAGAAAACAGCACAUAUCCAAGAUGGAGAAAAGCAUGACAGUCUUCAAGAGUUACUCUGUCUUGAGAGAAACACAUGGAUAUAUGUUCAACUCCGGCACUGCACAGCCCCCCAGUGUACUGUUUUUCAGACCCAAAGAAAGAACUUGGAGGACUGUCAGAGAGGUUUGAACAUUUUAUUAUUCACUCCUUGCCAGCAGCAGGCCAGGAUAUAAUGGAGAGCUGCACAGUGCCUACAAGCUAGGGAAAUAUAGUUUGCAUGCCCAAUGUGCAGGUGACUAUCUUUGGAUGUUUUAUGAGUAUAUUCCUUUACAACCAAGGUCACUCUCUUCAGAUCCUUUCCCAAGGAUUGGAGAUAAGGGAAGUGGCCAGCUCCCCCUUCCCAUUUCUCUCUUAUACAUUCUUUUAGAGACCUUUUUCUCACUGCAAGCUUUCCUAGGCACUGAUUAGUUUUUAACGUAACAGUGUGGUAUGGAACAGCAUUGUUGAGCCUGGGAUCCUUGUACACAUGUGGAAUCCCUGUCUUCAUGGCAAAUUUCUGGAAAUCAAUCUCUCUCCACCCCCAUAACACCCUUUGGUGCUGGGGAUAGAACCCAGGACCUCACACAUGCUAGCACACGCUGUACCACUGAGCGACAUGCUUCUUAAAGUCUGUGUAGAUGCACUUGUAAAUGUUGAUUAGUGUAUUGGUGGGUCACCACCUCAUGAAUGGCACAUGGGUCAUCUCACCACCCAUCUUGAUGAGAGUCAUUCUUCCAGGCCUAAAUUGGAAAGCUGCAUUUCUGGGUUUUGACCUUUGUAGCUUAAAAGAGUUUAACCCAUCUCGAGUUUAUAUAAAUUUUCACCAAGUACUUUAUA